rnacentral:misc_RNA from 1 species
CGAGUGCUAGCCCAGCCUGCAUGCAUCCUCUUCCCUCUUCUUCACCACCCCAUCAACCACCUCCUGCAUCUCCCUCUCCUCUUUCCUCAGUAGUGGAUCGCUCUUCGCCAGGGUGUGCACUCACCGCUUGGCCACGACCCACGGAGACCUCGGAGGAAGAACUGCGCGGCUGUGUGUGUGUGUGUUAUUCUGCCGUUCACCGGAUAUCGUUCUGCUCACGCAGGCGCACACACACAAACACGUGUCGUUGCUUCUGCGCCACCUCUCUGUGCACAGGCGGAGAUACAGGUUGGCUCUGCUUGCGCGGGACAAACUCACACACAGAUAUCUGCUCUCCCUCUCCCUCUCCCUCUCCCUCUGCCGCCCCCUCUGUUUUGAUUUAGCUCAAGGACAUGGAGGACACGAUCAACGUCUUUGGUCGCGGCACACCCGCCGGCGAGGCAAUUUACCGCUGCUACGUUGCCCCUUCCAAACCCAGCACGCUCGACCCUCAACUCGCAGCCCUGCUGGCGCGUCGACGCCAAGAGCGGGAAGCCGCCGAGGCUGUGCAGGCGCACCCGAAGCCCAUUCCAAAGUCGAAGGCACCGGUGCGCCGGCCCCGCGUUGGCUUGGGAAGGCGGCCAACCGAGGAGGAGUACGCGCGCUGGCGGUUGCAGCACAUCCCGCACCGUCGCUCCAAGGCCGCUAUAGAGGCAGAGGAGGAGGCGCACAGGUGGGUGCCGCAGCCCGUCAGCGACCGCUUCGCCCGCCCGGCUAUCACAGACGCCGAGAAGGAUCGGCUGGCGGAUGUCAUGGCCUACGGCGCUGAACUCCCCAAGCCAAAGGAGUUCACCGGGGCGCAGCGGGUCCGCCUUCACCGUCUCGAACCGCGCGCGGAGCUGGAGGACCGGUUCGCGAAGCUGCGUCAGACGGCGCAGGAGGUGCAGAGCGAGCUCGCGCAGCUCCGACAGAGUGCCCCCGGCAUUGUUGCCUCGUUGUCCUCCGGCGGCCGUGUGGCUGAGAGUUUGUUGGACCCCCAAACACGACUCUCACAGCGCCGCUCUUGCGAAGGUGGCAGCGACUCCGCCACCACCUCUCCGUGUCCGCUGGUGUCAGCCGCGUCGCCUGGUGCAGCCGCCGCCCGGGAUGUGCUCAGCAUCGGUGGCACUCGUGUCAGCCAUCAGGGUGACAGCAAGAUGAGCACGAUCGAACGCUGCCGGCAGGAACGGGAGCUGCAGAGCCACCUGGGUACGGUUAUUGCAGAGAUGGAGGCGGUAGACCGGGAGCUGAACCGACUCCCCAUUUAUUCGUAGAGAUAUCUGUACCGGCUUAGCUCUUUCUGCUACGACCUGUGGCGUGCUGUUGCUGCGCUUUCUCUGGAUGUACAGCUCACCUGCCCCCCCCUCCCUCUGGUGAGCGGAGCGCCACACAUGCACACACACGCAACGCUUCCCGUCGUCACAGAGGGGCGUUGCCUGCCUUUGUGUAGGUGCGUGCGUCUGUGCUCAUUGCUCUGUGUGUAUUUUCCAAACCCCC